rnacentral:rRNA from 1 species
GGAAUUACUGGGCGUAAAGCGUUCGUAGGCGGUUAGUUAAGUUAGAUGUGAAAGCCCCGGGCUUAACCUGGGAACUGCAUUUAAACUGGCUAACUAGAGUUUAGGAGAGGGAAGUGGAAUUUCAGGUGUAGCAGUGAAAUGCGUAGAGAUCUGAAGGAACACCAGUGGCGAAGGCGACUUCCUGGACUAAAACUGACGCUGAGGAACGAAAGCGUGGGUAGCAAACGGGAUUAGAUACCCCGGUAGUGCACGCCGUAAACGAUGUCGACUAGCCGUUGGGCCUAUAUACAGGUUUAGUGGCGGAGCUAACGUAUUAAGUUGACCGCCUGGGGAGUACGGCCGCAAGGUUAAAACUCAAAUGAAUUGACGGGGGCCCGCACAAGCGGUGGAGCAUGUGGUUUAAUUCGAUGCAACGCGAAGAACCUUACCUACCCUUGACAUCCAGAGAAUCUGUUAGAGAUAGUAGAGUGCCUUCGGGAACUCUGAGACAGGUGCUGCAUGGCUGUCGUCAGCUCGUGUCGUGAGAUGUUGGGUUAAGUCCCGUAACGAGCGCAACCCUUAUCCUUAGUUGCUAGCAGGUAAUGCUGAGAACUCUAAGGAGACUGCCGGUGAUAAACCGGAGGAAGGUGGGGACGACGUCAAGUCAUCAUGGCCCUUAUGGGUAGGGCUACACACGUGCUACAAUGGUCGGUACAGAGGGCCGCAAACUCGCGAGAGUAAGCUAAUCCCAGAAAGCCGAUCUUAGUCCGGAUUGGAGUCUGCAACUCGACUCCAUGAAGUUGGAAUCGCUAGUAAUCGCGAAUCAGAACGUCGCGGUGAAUACGUUCCCGGGCCUUGUACACACCGCCCGUCACACCAUGGGAGUGGGUUGCAAAAGAAGUGGGUAGACUAACCUUCGGGAGGUCGCUCACCACUUUGUGAUUCAUGACUGGGGUGAAGUCGUAACAAGGUAACC